rnacentral:tRNA from 1 species
AGGCAAUUAUUUUAAUAAAAAUCUUUGAUUUCGGCUCAAAAGCUUGCGGUUAAAGUCCGCAAUUGCCCA